CCCUUAGACGUUCUGGGCCGCACGCGCGCUACACUGACGAAGGCAACGAGCUUUCCUUUACCGAAAGGUACGGGUAAUCUUUUGAAACUUCGUCGUGCUGGGGAUAGAUCCUUGCAAUUUUUGAUCUUAAACGAGGGAUUCCUAGUAAGCGCAAGUCAUCAACUUGCGUUGAUUACGUCCCUGCCCUUUGUACACACCGCCCGUCGCUACUACCGAUUGAAUGGUUUAGUGAGGCCUUCGGAUCCGCGACUCGUUUUGUGGAGAAGUUGGACAAACUCAGUCAUUUAGAGGAAGUAAAAGUCGUAACA
rnacentral:rRNA from 1 species